GACGAACGCUGGCGGCGUGCCUAAUACAUGCAAGUAGGACGCAGUUGCGAACGGGUGAGUAACGCGUAGGUAACUAACUAUUAGAGGGGGAAAACUAUUGGAAACGAUAGCUAAUACCGCAUACUAGUAGAUGGACCUGCUUUGGAUUAGCUAGUAGGUAGGGUAAGUGCCUACCUAGGCCACGAUACACAGCCGACCUGCAAGGUUGAGCAGCCACACGUGGCCUGAUACCCUGCCCAUACUCCGUCGGGCGGCAGAAGUAGGGAAUCUUCGGCAAGGGGGGGAACCCUGACCAUGCAACGCCGCGUGAGUGACGAAGUUUGUCGGGUCGUAAAGCUCUGUAGUUAAGGAAGCGGUACUUAACCAGAAAGGGACGGCUAACUACGUGCCAGCAGCCGCGGUAAUUC
rnacentral:rRNA from 1 species